rnacentral:lncRNA from 1 species
UUGGGUUAGUGAGUAAUAAGGAUUCUUUGUGGACAAGAUCCACAAUCAAGCAUUCUUUCCCCUUCCAACUUCACUACCCACGAUUUUCCUUUUCCUUUCCUUCCUUUCUUCACACUCUUCUUUUAUCUCAACAACAAGCUUCUCUCCAUCUUGAGGCUUUACCUCAUUCUCUUCGAAUUCUAACUUGUGGAGAAUAGGCAUUAGAUUUUGUGAAAUGUAGGAUUUGUG